CUCCAACUCAGUUUGCAUCGGAGCAGAGACACACUCAGAUCUAAAGCAGCAGUCAUGAGCUGGGACAGCUACA